CUGCAGUCAAAAAGAUUUGCUCAAGAACGAACAACUCUCCCCACAGCUCUCCAGGAGUGGAAGAAUCGAAGACACAAACGCCACUCCAAUGCUGACAGAGCAGAAUGCCCCUACAGACCAUCGAUACAGCGAUUUAAAUAGUUCAACAACCGACGAAACUAUUAACUGUACUUAACCAAACAGCCCAGCAUAAGCGACUGUGUUUCUUGCUUGAUGUCAGGA